AAGUCGUAACAAGGUUUCCGUAGGUGAACCUGCGGAAGGAUCAUUAACACGUGAAAACGUAUUAAAAUCUACCUUAACAAACAAUCAGUGAACUUCACCCCUACCCGUUUAGCAAGAGGCUGUCCAUGCGGUAUGUUGUGGGCUCUGGUCGCAAGAUCAAAGGCAACCGUGUGAGAACUGGGGAGUCAAAUCCCGAGGCGCUUGUUGAUGGGCUUUUCUAUAUUGUCCCCACAACUCAAUAGACAUAACCAACCUGUAGUCACCCUAAAAACAAUUGACUGAUGUACACCAAUGACUCAGAAAUGAGUGGAUUGGCACCAUUUAUUCUAACUAAGCACAACUCUUAGCAAUGGAUAUCUUGGUUCUC
rnacentral:misc_RNA from 1 species